rnacentral:misc_RNA from 1 species
GUGAAUCAUCGAAUUUUUGAACGCAAAUUGCGCUUCCUGGCAUCCCGGGAAGUAUGCCUGUUUGAGGGUCAGUAUUAAUAAAAAAUCGGUUUAGUUACAAAUUGUGACGAUUCCGGAGUUUGGGCUAUCUUAACAUUUUUGUUUAUGAGGUUUAUAAUUGACUUUUUUUGCGAAUUUUUAAACUUGAAUAAAUUUUUUUAUUCGUCUAUUCUUAAUGCCAAUGUCUUAUUAGAUACGAUCACUUCGUCUGGCUUCGUGUCUAU